CCGCCCGGAGGUCACCAUCCGCCAGCGAGUUUCGCCCGCGGAUGGCGUUUUG
rfam:Fulvimarina pelagi HTCC2506 scf_1100011000323 genomic scaffold, whole genome shotgun sequence.